rnacentral:ncRNA from 1 species
CUAUGAAAAAGGCAAACUUAUUGAAAGAUAAGGACGCAAAGCCACAGGUCUAAGGUGAAUAUCACUAAGAUGGCUGGGUUGCCUGU